UGGGCCAGCACGGUUAUUGUGUGAAAAGAAGCCGCGUUGAUCGGAUAGUGAUCGCCGAGCACGGAACGGUGUUGUUUCUCCAAGUUUUCCUCUUGUGAUAUAUAAACCGUGCGAAUAUAGAGAAACGAGAGAAACCACGCGAAAGUAUGUUAAUGAAAAAUUUCGGCAACGGGAAGCUGAUUCUCUCAGCUUGCAAUCCCUAUUUUGACGUCUUUCUGAGGAAACUCUAUGGCAAAAACGUCUUCACAGUCAGAGGUGUUGGAUUAAAACUGUUAAAAGCCUUGGUGAAUAAACUUCGGAAUCCUCUGAACAUUUAGUGGAGUUCAGUUAGUUUCUGUUAAGAAAUUCAACACGCACUGUAGUACGCCGACACAACAAACUUGGGAUCAAAUAGACGUACAAGAAUGCUUGUCGAUAAACAAAGACGAACUGCCAACGAUCCGUGGUCGCUCUAUAGCACCCGACUCUUGUCCUCCGCAACCUCCUUGCGAGACACAAGCUGAUCAGUCCACCCACCGUGAAUCUCAUGAGGCGCGAGUGUUUCCGAUGCUACUGAUGAGGUCCUCACCGACAUUUCAGGAUCAACCAAGAACGAAAGAACAGGGACCAAAGCCAAGGUUCUAGAAAAUUCGUUUUUGAAAAAGAGCGGUUACUUUGCAACGAAGGGCGCAGGAACUUUGAAGCUGUAUAAACGCCGGAAAACGUGGAACGCUGCUCGAAAGUUUUGCCUCAUGAAAGGAGGUCAGUUGGUCGUGAUAGAUUCCGCGCAGAAGCAAGCCAUUUUGAGAAGCCGGCUGGCUAGAAAAUCAUUGCAAGCUCUCUGGAUAGGCUUCCACGAUCUGUUUGAGGAAGGAUCGUGGACGACUGUGACCGACGAGUUGGUCGAUGAAUUGGACUAUUAUCCGUGGGCUAAAGGCGAGCCCAACAAUUCCGGAAACAUCAUCUGGGGACGAUGGCAAGUUUGCGUUCGUCUGCGAAAACAAGUCGUGUUAACCGCUUGCCCUACGAUUUAAGUUUCAAUAACGCGUGCCACAAAAAACAACAGGGUCAGUCACGCGUCGAGCCUUUUCACGGUUGCGCGAAACUGAAGUUGUGCCAAUCGCACACGUCUUACGGAAUGUAAAUACAUGUCUAAAGUACAGUUGGUUUAGUUUUGUGAGGUGUUUGAUAAAUAAUUUCGAACGAAUUAUUAAUGAACAGGAAAGGUUUAAUAUAAGUUUCAAUAGUCUUAUAAUUGUAUAUGUAUAAUAAUCUUAUAAUUGUAUAUAAUAAAUUUUAACUCCAAUUUAUAAUAAUUUACAAUAAAUUAGUGUAGUAUCGUAAUUUAUUAGGUAUGUUUAGGACGAGGAGGAGUGUUAGGCUUAAGACCGUAGUUCUAAGACUUUGUGUUUAGGGUAGGUAAUAAAAGAGAAACGUUGGCGAAGGCCGGGUCAGAUGGGAAAACCCUUGGCGACGGAGACCCGGCGGAUGCGAUCGCCACGUUUUGAGAAAAGGGCAGGCAGAGUCUACGAGUCGUAGAGUUGAGCGAGUAGUUAUAAUCUCAGUUGUAGGUACGGUACGCGAUAUUCUCUGUCUUCAUCAGGCUCAGUCCUUUCCUAGUCUCUACAGAUUCAGUAUUGUUUCAAUACUGAACAAAAUCACUACAUUAGUAGUCUUCGACCGUAUGGUAUCUUUCAAAGUAUUUUGGUGCAUGUAAUGGGACUUUACAUCUUUUACACUUCUACGCUGUUUCGCUACGUCCUUUAUGUCUGGUACAAAUUUCUCAGAGUUACUUUGAUUUCAAUGGUGUCGGGUUCCAUAGUUUAAAAAGAUUUCAGUUAUUGUAUAUUUUAAUCGAAGGUCUACCGACCGCUAAAAUUUGCAGGCAUAUUGGCUAUAAAAGUCGGUACCUUUAGACCGCGGCGUACUUGCAACACCUCCUUUAACACUUACAGGACCAUAAGAUUGCUAAGAGUAAAUAUUAGUUGUAACUGUUUAUAUUAGUUCGUUUGGACGUACAAUAAAUAAAAAUCGUAAGGAAAAUACAUAA